rnacentral:sRNA from 1 species
UGGACCUUCCCGCCGAUUCGCACCCGGGCACCGACUUUAGGGGAGGAUUCUCCGUUGCCGUACAUGCAAGCACAAGCAGCCGUGCUUGCUCUCGCGUUGUUUUCGUCGGUGGGGAUGCCGUGAAACGGCCUGUAAGGGCCAUACAAUGAAAAAAUACUGUAUGUGUAUUUUUAUCGUUGUUACUGGAGCUUUGUUUACGCCACAUGGGGAGGGUUGGAAGAUUACUGAUAACGCUCUAAAUGUGACGAUAAACAUUAGCAGCAAGUAGCGAUUAGGCCCCUUCGGGGGCCUUUU